CAUCCUAUAGUAUAAUUUUGAUAGUACAUUAAAUUGCAGCUUUAAAAGAAUAUAUAAUAGUAUUGGGGUU
rnacentral:tRNA from 1 species